AAAUGAAUUGACGGGGACCCGCACAAGCAGCGGAGCAUGUGGUUUAAUUCGAAGCAACGCGAAGAACCUUACCAGGACUUGACAUCCUUCUGACCGGACUUUAACAGGUCCUUUCCUUCGGGACAGAAGAGACAGGUGGUGCAUGGUUGUCGUCAGCUCGUGUCGUGAGAUGUUGGGUUAAGUCCCGCAACGAGCGCAACCCUUGUCAUUAGUUGCCAUCAUUAAGUUGGGCACUCUAGUGAGACUGCCGGGGAUAACUCGGAGGAAGGUGGGGAUGACGUCAAAUCAUCAUGCCCCUUAUGUUCUGGGCUACACACGUGCUACAAUGGUUGGUACAGAGAGAUGCAAGACCGUGAGGUGGAGCAAAUCUCAAAAGCCAAUCCCAGUUCGGAUUGUAGGCUGCAACUCGCCUACAUGAAGUUGGAGUUGCUAGUAAUCGCAGAUCAGAAUGCUGCGGUGAAUGCGUUCCCGGGUCUUGCACACACCGCCCGU
rnacentral:rRNA from 1 species